AGAGUUUGAUCCUGGCUCAGAUUGAACGCUGGCGGCAGGCCUAACACAUGCAAGUCGAGCGCUUCCAGCUUGCUGGAGGAGCGGCGAACGGGUGAGUAACGCGUAGGAAUCUGCCUGGUAGUGGGGGACAACGUCUCGAAAGGGACGCUAAUACCGCAUACGCCCUACGGGGGAAAGGGGGGGCUCUUCGGACCUCUCGCUAUCAGAUGAGCCUGCGUCGGAUUAGCUAGUUGGUGAGGUAAAGGCUCACCAAGGCGACGAUCCGUAGCUGGUCUGAGAGGAUGAUCAGCCACACCGGAACUGAGACACGGUCCGGACUCCUACGGGAGGCAGCAGUGGGGAAUAUUGGACAAUGGGGGCAACCCUGAUCCAGCCAUGCCGCGUGUGUGAAGAAGGCCUUCGGGUUGUAAAGCACUUUAAGGGGGGAGGAAGGUUCCAAAGCGAAUACCUUUGGGAAUUGACGUUACCCCAGAAUAAGCACCGGCUAACUCGUGCCAGCAGCCGCGGUAAUAC
rnacentral:rRNA from 1 species